rfam:Schistosoma mansoni, Puerto Rico, WGS project CABG01000000 data, contig: 0207
AUCCAGCUGAUGAGUUCCAAAUAGGACGAAACGCGCGUCAAACUGGAU